UACAGGGGGUGCAAACGUUGCUCGGAAUUAUUGGGCGUAAAGCGCGCGUAGGCGGCCACUUAAGUCGGAUGUGAAAGCCCCUGGCUCAACUGGGGAAGUGCACCCGAAACUGAAUGGCUUGAGUGCGAAAGAGGGUCGCGGAAUUCCCGGUGUAGAGGUGAAAUUCGUAGAUAUCGGAAGGAACAUCAGUGGCGAAAGCGACUUCCUGGACCAGUACCGACGUUCAGGCACGAAAGCGUGGGGAGCAAACAGG
rnacentral:rRNA from 1 species